rnacentral:rRNA from 1 species
CCUACGGGAGGCAGCAGUGGGGAAUUUUGGGCAAUGGCCGAAAGGCUGACCCAGCGACGCCGCGUGCGGGAGGAAGCCCUUCGGGGUGUAAACCGCUGUCAGAGGGGACGAAAGAGCGGGGAGGGAAUACUUCUCCGCAGUGACGGUACCCUCAAAGGAAGCACCGGCUAACUCUGUGCCAGCAGCCGCGGUAAUACAGAGGGUGCAAGCGUUGUUCGGAAUUACUGGGCGUAAAGCGCGCGCAGGCGGAAGUGCAAGUCCCGAGUGAAAUCCCGCCGCUCAACGGCGGGGCUGCUUAGGAUACUGCACCUCUAGGGACCGGUAGAGGCUGGUAGAAUUGCAGGUGUAGCGGUGGAAUGCGUAGAGAUCUGCAAGAAUACCCGUGGCGAAGGCGGCCAGCUGGGCCGGAUCCGACGCUGAGGCGCGAAAGCGUGGGGAGC